rnacentral:lncRNA from 1 species
CAGGGCCGGGGCGCCUGGGCAGGCACGUGUCCGGGCACAACCCGCUGCCCACGCUGCCCCCCCACUCCCGCCCCCCCCGCUCUGGCCAGGACACGUCGCUCUCUUACUUGGGUGGGGUGGGAGGAGGGGAGAGAAAGCUGGAAAUGGAAAGCAGCGCCCCCCACCCCUCUGAAUGGCCAACCUCGGCCAGCGGUGCGCACUAGGUUUCUACCACACAGCGACCCCCACUCUGCUCAGGGCAGGUGCGCCGGCGCCGGCGGCAAGACCGCUGGAGUCUUACUAUAUCGCUCCUGCUGUUCUCCACCUCCGGGGAUCAAACUGCCCACGUCAGCUUCCGGAAUCGAAGGGAAGAUAGAUGUGUGUGUGCUACCCACCUGGCAAGCCCUAAAGUUGAGAUGUGGAAACGUGGGUGCACUGAAUGUCUGUUCUACUAAAGAGUGUUGUUCUUCUGACCUUGGGAUGAAUCGCUUCCCUUCUUGGGCCUGUUUAUUCAAGUUAAUGUGAAAUAAUCCCCUUUAACAUUAGUUAUCUUUCCUACUUUUGUUGUAGGGUUGUUUGUUGCUUGGUUCUGAGAUAGGUUUCACCACCACACUCCAGCCUGCCUACUUUUGAAGUUUACUUUUCCUCCUGAGCACACAGACACUCACUCAGGUGUGGAGGUCAGAGGACAGCUUGCACGAGUUGGUUCUCUCUUCCCAUCAUGUGUGUCCUGUCCUGGGGAUUGGAAUGAGGAGGCUUGACAGCAAGUGCCUUCAUCUACUGAGCCAUCUUGCCAACCCUAAAGUAUACUUUAAAAAAUAUACUCAGGAGGCAGAGACAGGCAACUCUUUGAGUUUGAGGCCAGCCUCAUUUACACAGUGAGUGGGACAGAGCUACAGCUUGAGACUUUUAUUUAUUUAUUUAUUUAAAAUGAU